rnacentral:rRNA from 1 species
AUUGAACGCUGGCGGCAGGCUUAACACAUGCAAGUCGAGCGGGGGGAAGUAGCUUGCUACCGGACCUAGCGGCGGACGGGUGAGUAAUGCUUAGGAAUCUGCCUAUUAGUGGGGGACAACAUCUCGAAAGGGAUGCUAAUACCGCAUACGUCCUACGGGAGAAAGCAGGGGAUCUUCGGACCUUGCGCUAAUAGAUGAGCCUAAGUCGGAUUAGCUAGUUGGUGGGGUAAAGGCCUACCAAGGCGACGAUCUGUAGCGGGUCUGAAAGGAUGAUCCGCCACACUGGGACUGAGACACGGCCCAGACUCCUACGGGAGGCAGCAGUGGGGAAUAUUGGACAAUGGGGGGAACCCUGAUCCAGCCAUGCCGCGUGUGUGAAGAAGGCCUUAUGGUUGUAAAGCACUUUAAGCGAGGAGGAGGCUACUUUAGUUAAUACCUAGAGAUAGUGGACGUUACUCGCAGAAUAAGCACCGGCUAACUCUGUGCCAGCCGCCGCGGUAA